CCUCGUGAUCCACCUGCCUCGGCCUUCCAAAGUGCUGGGAUUACAGGAGUGAGCCACCGUGCCCGGCCAGGACUUUUUAACUGAAUGAAAAGGCACUACUUGCAAAAACUCAAAGUUCAACUUCUAUGUCAUAAUCAACAAAGUAUGGUGUAUCUUUGUAAUAAAAAAAUAAAUCAACUAGAUACUGAACGUCACCAACAGAGUGUAAGUGCCUUGAGGGGCAAGGGACUCUGUUUUCUCUUCUGCUCAUAGCACAUGGCACAGUGGUAAUAAAAAAUAUUGAUCACUUAACAGGAAAAAAAAAAAGUCUCCUUUUUAUCCCUCUCUCAAGCUGGCAUCUAUUAACUCUACAGAUCAGUCAGAGAAAAGUAGCCUCAUCAACAUUUUCCUCCUCCAAAGUUUUUAAGAGAUUUUAUUGUUUUCCUCUCUUUAGUGAGUACACCAAGUACCAUAGUCUCAUGGGUUUCGGUGGCUAAGUCUGCCAAAGUCUUAUCCACGCCAAGAAAUAACUUCUCUCGUUUUACUUUUUCAGAGGGGUGUGAAAGAAAACAAUUGAUUCUUCUCUCUACGAGAGUCUUUUUAAAACAAAGUAAGAGCUCUGAAUUUGAUGAACUCUCUGAGAAACAGAAUAUAGAUUAAAUGAUUACUAACAUAUUUCCCUGCAGCACAAAGUUCUUUUUUGGAGAUUAGCAAUUUAUUCCAUUUAUUACAACAGCCAAACCUGAAGUCUCUUUUCAUUGGCUAGUCAAGUUCACCAACCCUUUCUGUUUUGAAAUCCUCACUCCUUCCCAAAAUAGUGUAUCUUGUGCCUUUAAUAUUGAGGUUGAGGUGCAGGCAAAAGGUGUCCAGAAAUUGUGAGACGUGACUGCAUUGACAUCCUCGGUCUAAAACGCCUGGCACCAUGUGGGAGCCUGGCUCCGCUGCCUCUCAACGCACUGGCUUGCUUUUUGCUUUUGAGUAGCUUGAAUAUCAAACCAAGCACAAAGGGAAUCAUACCCAGGAGUUGCUGGAAAAAGCUCAUUUCAUCCACCUCAUUCCCCCAUUCUCUCUGGCAGACACAACUGAUUUUUUUUUUUUUGAAGCCUGAAAAACUUCUCAUUUAAACUUGGGGUGCAAAAGGCAUGUGAAGUGGGAGAGUUGCUGCCUGGACCAGCGAAGGGUUAGCCAGGGAAGGAUUCAACGAAAUACAAAAGCCAACACAGACCUGAAGGGGAACAGGCGGCCCCAGCAACAACUGCCAAACUGUCAUUUUGCUCCGCGGCUGAACAGAAGGCUCGAGUAAUGACAACCACAAAACUCAUUUAAAGUCUGAAAAGGUGACUAAUGAGCUCAUUCAUGCUGGCUAUAAAUUAUUCACUACAACACUGAUCCCACUCAAGACAAACAGUAAAGUAAACUUUAAACACAGACAUCGCUGGCCUUCCAAAGUGGAACAAGUUAUGCCUGUAAAAGUUUUCACAAUGAGAGAGAUACUUGUCUCCCCCUUGUCUAUUGUCACAUUCGUUCUUCUGUUUACUUUUUUUUACUGCCUUUAAUCAAGUUUAAGCAGACACAGCUGUUACACAUUUAUUUCUCUGAGUUUUUUUCCAUUAGUUAUUACAAGCAAUCAUGAUGCUCUAAAAAUAGCAGCAAAUUAUAUUCUCUAGAAAUUGAAGGCUGACCUUAAAAUGAAGCCCAGGUCUUCAGAAAGAAUAUUCAUAUGCACAUGUUGGAUAAAUGACAACAAUGCACAAAGGCAAAAUAAAAGUACAAAGCUUUUUCCACUCUUUGAGAGGUUUUUGAUUUGCUUCCAAAUUUCCUUUGGUUCUGGUGGAAACAGGUUGCUUCAAAACCUUACCAUACAGAACCUGCUUCCAGUGGUCAUGAUUCCAGUUUGAAGGAUUUUCCUUCAAACUUACAAUCUUAAGGCAAUCAAAGAAGAAAUGUUUCAUUUAGGCUUUUUCAGCACAGAUAAACACAGCAGCAGGUUGCUGAAAACCCACCACAUUGCUGCAGACUACUUUCGGUUUCCUGUUUAAUAUUAAAUAAAGAAUUUUAGCUCUUCUGUUUUUAUAAACUGUGCUAUUUGCUACUACUGUCACUACUAAAAGCAUUAUGACUGGGUGGAUAAGUAGUCCUAUGAUUUUCAAGCCUUCUUUUUUCUUUAAUCUUAGUAUCUAUUUUGAAGACAUCGCGAGAGUUAAGAGUCUCAAAUCUGUUUAAUUGAUUUUUUUAUUUUUAAAAGGCCCAAAUAAGUACUUCCGUUAGCUCUUAGAUCUCUGAACAUUAUGUAUUUUUAAACCACUUUGAAUACUUUGAAAAGGGCCACAGAAAACACUCAUAUUCAAAUACCACCAGACGGAGGUUCUGCCUAACCAAAAGUAAAAGCAGAAAAGUUUAAAGCUGAAUUGUGCCCUGCACACACCUUGAGAUUGUAGGGGUGAAAUGAAUGGUCUUGGGCCGGGGAUCUUGCUAAAGGCAUGAUAAAUCAUGCGUUGCAGGCAAAUUAAGACCCAGGCUCUAACUUGAACCUCAGACUGUGCCAAACUCCAUCUCCAUUUAAGGAAAAUGGUUUUCUCAGUUUCUUGCACAUGACCUAAAGGCUUGUCCAGUCAUUUCCGUUGUCU
rnacentral:lncRNA from 1 species